UCAAAUAGCUACUGAUUAGUUCAUUUCUAUGACUCAAGUUAUUUGCAGUUCCUGGGACAUCUUUUCAUGUAUGUUAGUUGCACUUUCUUACUUUAGCUUUAAGAACCUUGACUUCUUUUGUUGUUUUUUUCUAACAGUAGAUAUGUAUAUAUUUUUCCCUCUCUAGGUGAAUCAAUUCAGAUAUUUGCUGAGAUUGAGAACUGCUCUUCCCGAAUGGUGGUGCCAAAGGCAGCCAUUUACCAAACACAGGCCUUCUAUGCCAAAGGGAAAAUGAAGGAAGUAAAACAGCUUGUGGCUAACUUGCGUGGGGAAUCCUUAUCAUCUGGAAAGACAGAGACGUGGAAUGGCAAGUUGCUGAAAAUUCCACCAGUUUCUCCCUCUAUCCUCGACUGUAGUAUAAUCCGCGUGGAAUAUUCACUAAUGGUAUAUGUGGAUAUUCCUGGAGCUAUGGAUUUAUUUCUUAAUUUGCCACUUG
rnacentral:sRNA from 1 species